rnacentral:rRNA from 1 species
UCUGGUUCAGAUUGAACGCUGGCGGCAGGCCUAACACAUGCAAGUCGAGCGGUAGCACAGAAGAGCUUGCUCUUUGGGUGACGAGCGGCGGACGGGUGAGUAAUGUCUGGGAAACUGCCUGAUGGAGGGGGAUAACUACUGGAAACGGUAGCUAAUACCGCAUAACCUCGCAAGAGCAAAGAGGGGGACCUUCGGGCCUCUCGCCAUCAGAUGUGCCCAGAUGGGAUUAGCUAGUAGGUGAGGUAAUGGCUCACCUAGGCGACGAUCCCUAGCUGGUCUGAGAGGAUGACCAGCCACACUGGAACUGAGACACGGUCCAGACUCCUACGGGAGGCAGCAGUGGGGAAUAUUGCACAAUGGGCGCAAGCCUGAUGCAGCCAUGCCGCGUGUGUGAAGAAGGCCUUCGGGUUGUAAAGCACUUUCAGCGGGGAGGAAGGCGGUAAGGUUAAUAACCUUAUCGAUUGACGUUACCCGCAGAAGAAGCACCGGCUAACUCCGUGCCAGCAGCCGCGGUAAUACGGAGGGUGCAAGCGUUAAUCGGAAUGACUGGGCGUAAAGCGCACGCAGGCGGUCUGUUAAGUUGGAUGUGAAAUCCCCGGGCUUAACCUGGGAACUGCAUUCAAAACUGACAGGCUAGAGUCUUGUAGAGGGGGGUAGAAUUCCAGGUGUAGCGGUGAAAUGCGUAGAGAUCUGGAGGAAUACCGGUGGCGAAGGCGGCCCCCUGGACAAAGACUGACGCUCAGGUGCGAAAGCGUGGGGAGCAAACAGGAUUAGAUACCCUGGUAGUCCACGCUGUAAACGAUGUCGAUUUGGAGGUUGUGCCCUUGAGGCGUGGCUUCCGGAGCUAACGCGUUAAAUCGACCGCCUGGGGAGUACGGCCGCAAGGUUAAAACUCAAAUGAAUUGACGGGGGCCCGCACAAGCGGUGGAGCAUGUGGUUUAAUUCGAUGCAACGCGAAGAACCUUACCUACUCUUGACAUCCAGAGAACUUAGCAGAGAUGCUUUGGUGCCUUCGGGAACUCUGAGACAGGUGCUGCAUGGCUGUCGUCAGCUCGUGUUGUGAAAUGUUGGGUUAAGUCCCGCAACGAGCGCAACCCUUAUCCUUUGUUGCCAGCGAUUCGGUCGGGAACUCAAAGGAGACUGCCGGUGAUAAACCGGAGGAAGGUGGGGAUGACGUCAAGUCAUCAUGGCCCUUACGAGUAGGGCUACACACGUGCUACAAUGGCGUAUACAAAGAGAAGCGACCUCGCGAGAGCAAGCGGACCUCAUAAAGUACGUCGUAGUCCGGAUUGGAGUCUGCAACUCGACUCCAUGAAGUCGGAAUCGCUAGUAAUCGUAGAUCAGAAUGCUACGGUGAAUACGUUCCCGGGCCUUGUACACACCGCCCGUCACACCAUGGGAGUGGGUUGCAAAAGAAGUAGGUAGCUUAACCUUCGGGAGGGCGCUUACCACUUUGUGAUUCAUGACUGGGGUGAAGUCGUAACAAGGUAACCGUAGGGGAACCUGCGGCUGGAUCC